GGUUGCGAUCAUACCAGCACUAAUGCACCGGAUCCCAUCAGAACUCCGCAGUUAAGCGUGCUUGGGCGAGAGUAGUACUAGGAUGGGUGAGCCCCUGCCAAGUCCUCGUGUUGCAACCC
rnacentral:rRNA from 1 species